ACAUAUAAAUAAGACUCCAUCAGAUGUUCUCUCGUAGGUCAAUUCAGUGAACUCAUUCUUUAAUGAGCACCCAUAUUUUUGUAUUAGUGUCAUCACACAAGUGGUUGUGAGAUCAACCACCCUCACCACUAAGCAUACAUAGGAUGUGCCGGUCUUACCGGUAUCAUUGGUCUCCGACUUAAUGAACUAAUGAUUGAGAAUAUUUUAGAUCAGGGC
rnacentral:lncRNA from 1 species